CAGAGCUCCCUGAAAACUCUCAUUUGGCCUAUAAAGAGAGGAGGACACCCGCCUGCGUGGGACUUUGUGCUGCUGGGCCUUGUGAGCUGCUGAGGAGGGCGUAAAAGACAGAAGUUAGGGAAGAGUGCCAGGGCCAUCUGGACAUCACUCAGGGGGCAGUGAGGACCCCAGAACUGGGAUUCAACCCCCAUCACCAUUGCAAAGUUGGUGAUAAUACUCUCCAAUAAGUGGCCAUUUUCAUCCCUGGUGCAACCGCAGUGAAGGCAAUGGAUUUACCCCAGGAAUGAGUUAUUCCUAUUGACUUUUCCUCUGUGGAAGUUUCACAUGGAAAUGUGACAAUGCGGGCUAGAACUGCUGAUACAUACAUUGAGAGGAUCGUUCAGGACGCAGCUAGUAACAGAUGAAUUUCCAUCAAGUGAAAUCUAACCAGAAGGAAGUCUCUACAUCCCCGGCUCAGUUCUACUGUGUGCCUCUCACAGGCAAGGCCUCACAGGUUGCUCUGCAGCCCACAAAAGUUAUUCCCAGAUCACCCAGCAAAGCCCCUGCAGAACGGUACAAGUUUCCUCUCGCAUUCAGAUGCUCCUCACAGCUGCGACUGGCCAAGUACCAAAAAGAAUUCCACUUGUUCUGAACUUCGCUUUUAUACGCCUCCUGACUAGUCUACCCUGAAAUGCUUUUGACUGGAGACUUGUCUGUUGCUUAAGCAAGGUUUAUUAAAUAUUCUCAGGAUUGACUUGGUUCCCUCUUCAGUUGCUAAAGUUUACCUUUGACUAUCUGCUUAGUCUGCCUACUAACUACAGAAUCUGAAAUUUCUACUUUGUAAAUUACAAUUCAGAAAUGUAUACAACUGCCUGUAGUCUAAAGUGUAAUUUGUGAGGAAAUGUUUUACCCUUUUUCCCUCUUCUCCACCAAGAAAAUAAUCUAGUCAUAUGACCAAAUGAUGACUUACAUAAACUUAAUAAAAAUAUGCAUUUUAAUUUAUUACUUUGCUCAGCACUUUUAACAUGUAUUUAGGUCAUUUUAAUCUUUUUAAUGAAUUCAUAUCGAGAAGGAUGAAUUCUUCUUUGGGGAAUACUGCUUAACUGUAAAGAUUUAUCUUUUUUCUUAAAAUGUUUUGGUAAAUGACAGGCAUCAUAAUUUGUAAGAGUGCUUUAGAAUUUGUCCGUCAUGUUCUCAAGAUCAUUAUUUUAUGAUGCAAAAUCACUUCACUAGCGACUCAAAAUUAAAAUCAGCUUCCACCGAUUUUUACUUUCCUUUUUUUCUUUCUUUGCUUAAUUUGUUUUCACCUGUGAGAAGUUACUAUAAGCAAAAAUAUACAUCGGUAUGUUGCAAACUAAGUCCCAAAUGGCCUAAAGAAUUUUGUAAUGAAACUAUUUAAUAUAUGAGAAAACACACACGCACACACUCUUCUGUAUGACUUCUAACUCCUUCACUGUGCUCUGUAUUCCAUUUAGCUCUGUGUUGCUGGUA